rnacentral:lncRNA from 1 species
CUAAUGUUUUGUUAUCCAUUUAUUACAAAACAUCCCCCCACCAUCCAGAUGUUAAUGUAAUAAAUUAUUAGUUUGAGGGUAGUUUAGUUUUUUACAUUUCGUUUUCCUUGGUAUUGUUGUAUAUAAACUCAUUGUAUCCUACAUAUUUUGCCCUAAGUUUGGAGGCUCCUCCAUUCUUCACAAUAGUGCGUUCCCCUCUGAUAGAUUUAUAAAAUUAGUUCUUCACCAGUUUGUUCUCCUCUUUGGAUAGAGUUAUCAUAUUGGUUUGUUGUUUUCUACACCAGAAAGGUACACUUUGUCACAACUUUCGCCGGGACACAAGGUUGGUAAUUUUUGCACAUAUUUGGUUUCAUGCUUCCUGGUUAUUAGUGAUGGAAAUGAUAUUUUUUUAUUAUUUUUUCUUUUUGUCAAUGUGAUUAUGAAUUGAUAUGGUUAAGGCUCGUAGUACAUGAAAUUGCUAUAAUUGUUGAUGUGGUGAGAUUCUAGUACCUGAAUUUUGAUGCUAAGUUUUAAUUUGGCACUAAUAAUCUUAUAAAAUCCACAUCUAGAUGGAAGGAAAGGUUCGUGGUUGAGAGUUUUCUGUCAUUAGGCAUCUAUAUAUAAGUAGAAUUUUCUAGGUCCCUUAGGGAUAGUUGGUAGCCAUAAUUCUGUGGAUUUGAGGCAUAGUCAACCAGAUGGAAUCUGAACAUAUAUAUAGAUGUUGUAUAAUGCUGUAUUUAUUAUGUAGAGAUUUGAGAAUUGACCUCCAAAUUUCAUCCUAAAAUAUCCAGAGUAUGAUUUAAAAUCAUGCAGAAAUAGAAUUCAGGUCUGAUUCUACAACCAAGCGCACUGAAGAAACCAAAAUAAUUAUACACAUUACAGUAGGCUGGUAUGUGUGCUUGAAGCCCUUCCAUCAUCAGGUGGUUGGCGAACAUGCGCGCACUAUUGAUCUGUAAAUAUCGGGGCCUGGUACAUAUGUGCACGCCACUCCUUCGGACUGUUCUUUGUAAGUAUCUUCUCUUAACGUCCACUUCUGGUCCCAUGCCAAAUGUCUUCUAUCUCUUCAUUUGUCCUCGAAAACAGGGCCCUGCACCAAGAUUCAACCUACAAAGAUAAAUCUGAGCUGAUUCGAGUUAAAUAGCCUACAAAAUGAUAAGAUCUAAGGCUCAAAUAAGUGUAAAAUUUACACGUAUGAAUUAUCCAUAUGGUUAAAUAAAUAAAAGCCAAGACAAAAUAUUAUGUGGUUGUCAACGAAAGAAUUUUUAUGAUGUUGCACUCAACUGGCUGAGUCGGAUAAUUUAUUUGAUUGAGGAAUUUUAUCACCCAAGAGUGCAAAAAUCUUCACUUAACUACUUACAAUCGAGGAGUCCUUUCUUUAUUCUUGAAAAUUAUUUGCAAUAUUAACAAUGGAUAUGUAAAAUAUGACAGAAGAUAGUCUUGUCUCUUCUUCUGACAUUUAUGAUAAUAACUAGAUCUUUUGUUUGAUCUUUUAAUAGUUUUGUAGAAUAAUUCAAAGCUCUCUGCCUUUACAUGGUCUUGGUUCUUAAACGGAUUCUCAUAAUGGCUUAUUACCACCAAUAAUGAGACCAUAACGUAUUCUUAGCUGAUGUUUGUGUUAUUUAUUGGCAGCAUGGUGAGACUCAUUCACAUUGGUUUCUGCAUUGUUACAUUCUAGAGAGAGUUUACGAGAAUGUUUUGUGGAAUAUCAUGAAAAUAAGGGCAGCUUAAUUGGCCAUAUUAGUUGCUUAUAUAAUUAUGUUGAUUGUUUUUUUCCUUGUUCAGUACUGAUUGUUAUUAGAUGCAAAAUUAACUUGUCGAAAACCUUCUUUUUGUAGCCCUAGCUUUGGUGUAUAUAUCGAAGAUAACAUAAGAAUCAUAAAUAUUUUCUAAAAUAUCCAGUAGGGAAGUACUUUUUCUUUGAUAAUAUCAUACAAUACCAGUUGACCUACUAGUCAUAUGAUCCGCUGUUUUCAGCUCAUUCUGAAGUCCAUCAACUGAUGAGCCAGUACCAAUUAGGCCAAGUAACUGCAUAUCCUAUUUUUCUUUUAAUCAGAAUUUAUGUAUUUUAUUACAUGCAUAGAUGUCAAAUGAGCUGGUCCAAGACGUCCUACAUUACAGAUGUGCGGUGUCUGUCUUUUAACUUUUCCUUGUUACUUUCCGAGAAGAGGUAAAGAAAAAGCCGAAAUUGGUCUUCACGAACUCCAGACUCAAGACAACCCACCCACAAUGCACUCACCUUCUUGUUUCUAUCUUUGAUUAUUCCUUGCAAAGUUUUCUUCGAGUUUUAUAUUGAGAUUUGAGAAGCAUCUUAGUGUAAAUGUGAACUCUUCUUGCUACUUGCACGCAUUUCUCUUUCAGAAUCCAACCAACCAAUAAUGCCACCCCAACCAGCCUUUCUUCCAUGUCUACGGCUUGGGCACCCUUCCCUUACAGGUUGUUUUUCGGGGUAUAUUUUAGUCAAAGUGAUUGUUACGAUCACCUCUCCAGCAGCCCCCAGCCAUCAACCUGUCCAAUGUCCAUCCCAAGCAGGCACCACCCACAACCUAAGCACUUAAUCACCCCUGCAGAUCUUGUCUAAAAAGCACAUAUGAAUGUGGAUUUCUAAGUCUAAAAAGCACCAUUGGUAUAAAUAGAGUUACAUUUCCCGUUUUAAAAUACGGAAACAAAUUCAACAAUCUGCGGUAGCAGAUGCCCUGGAUGUCCUUUUCAGUUUUUUCACUGAAAAUUGGACAAUUUGGCAGCAUGUUAUGUGUGAUUUGAGGUGAAAGGAGGGGCCCUGACUACAGACUAGAUAGGCAAUCGUCUAAAACACUGUUUUUGUGAGAGCCCAAAAAAAUAUUACAUAUAGUUCAUAAAAAAUUACAGAAAAAAUAAAGUCCAAAUGCAACCAACCAAACCAAUUUAGCUGUAUAAUUAACAAACAUAUUAAUCUUUAAUUAAAAUAUAAACCAAUUUUACACAAAAAAUCAUUUUUCAUAUUGGCCCACUUGAAUUCGUCCUUUCCUCUUUGUUAACCAUAAAAAAAUUGUACAUCUAAUUUUUUCCUUUGCAACAAAGUUACUUCUUUUUUCACUCUUUUCCUUCUUGUUUGUGUACAAUAAAUAAUGUGGUUAAUGACACGUCACCUUCGUGUGGAUUAAUGAUAAAAUAAUUUGGACAUUAUUAAACUACCUCACAUUUUUAUUUUGAUUCAAUAGUGGCAAUCCGGGUCACAUGAUUGAUUUUAUAGUGGAUUUUUAUUUAUUGUAUUUAUGUCCUGAUGGUUUUAUGGCUAAUGCUAAUGAACGUUUAGAGUUAUGAUGAGUAAAUGCUGAAAUGUGAGUAAACAGGGGUGUGAAAAGGUGUUAUUAUACUGCAAGAAAGGGAUGAUUCUAGAUAGAGGAUUCACUUGCAAUUGAAGCUAAAAUAUGAGAGACGCUUAAAAUUUUUGUCUGUUAGUAGAAGUUUUUAAAGAAUCUCAUACCUAUGGACACAAGAGUACCGUCUUAUAACACAUGAUAUUCUAGAAAUUGUGCUCCUAUCAAUUUUUGCAGAUGAAAAAAAAAUGUAUAAAUUGUGCUCAUGCAUAUUUUCUAGGCAUCUAUUUAGCCUAUUUUUUGGCUCAUGUUUAUGAAUAAAUGCUCAAUCUACUUUUUAUCCAAAUACCACCACCCGUUUUUGUAUAUUUAUAAUUCAAGUUGUUUAUAAACACUUCCCAAGUGUUUUCUAAUGCUCAAUUUGAAUGUAUCUAAAAUUGCUUCUGGUAAUGCAAUUGAGGGAUUGCAAGACUUGUUUUGCUUGUCUGAUCUAGAUUAUAUUUCCCAUUGAAAGAGAAAGUGUUUACCUCAUUUUCAAUUGCCUACAUUUAUCAUCUAACAUAAUUAUUAAAUUGUAAUUACCUAAUAGUUUUGUGGCCAUUGAUUUCAAUUAUAAUAUGAACAAAUGGUUUAAAUGAUCAACUUGAUUGAAAUUAAGAUUUAUGAUGGAUUUUUACUCACUUUUGUAGUUGACAAGUGGUUUGUCGAUUUUGGACACAAAAGAAAUUGAUUUUAUUAACAAAAAAAAAAAAAAUUGCUUUUACAAUUUAACCACACACCUCUCACAAUUCUUAUUAAAGGAAGCACUAAAUUUACUUCCACUCUCUCUCUCUCUCUCUCAAAGCACUCAUAUAUGAUGCUUCUCGCUGUGUCUUUCUUUCACCACACAUGCAUACAGCCUGUAUUUUUGUUUUUCUCUCUUUCACACUUCUUAAUUCACUCUAUGACUCAAAAUGAAGUGCUAGAACAUAUUUAGUAGUGUAUGUUGGUGCCUUACAAUUCUAGAAACUUUUUAGAUUGUUUCAUAUAUGACAAUGGGCUACCUUUCAAAUAUUUCUCAGAUUCUUCUAGGAAUGCUUAAGGAUUAAGGAAUUUGUUUAGCAAGGAAUCAUCAUCAAUUUUUCUAGAGAAUUUUUGGAGCUUCCUCUUAAGCCGAUGAUGAUUUUCAAUUGGAUCAAUAGCAGUACACAUUUGACGAUGUACGAUAUACCCCAUAUUUAUUGGAAUUCGUAGAAAACAUCCCUAUUUGAGACCUUGUGUGGAAUACAACCAUUGAUGUGCGAAAAAUCCCCCUCUAUGAAAUUUGAAGUGCGAUUCACCCCCUUACCGUAUAAUUUCAUUAGUUUAGCCAUUAAAAGUAUCAAAAAUUGACAAAAUUGAAAUGGAAUUAUUGCAAUUGUGAUCCCAGUUUUUUUAUAUUUUUUACAAAUUAUAUUCAAAUUUUUUAUAUGUGUCAACUGCAAUUCCAAACCUAUAAAAUUUUAUUUUCUUCCACAAUUUUAAAGGAUAAAAUGAUAAUUUUAUAUUAUUCCAUAACAAAUAAUUAAAAUAAAAUAUAAAAAUCCCCACCCACCCCCAAAUUUAGGGCUGGGCAAAUCUCUCGAACCGAACCGAUCGAACCGAACCGGACGGUUCUUGUCAAAUUAAAUACCCGAAUGGAUAUCUGAAUUGAGAAUCGACGGGUACGGUUUGGUUCUCGGUUCUAGACCAAGAACCGAAGAACCGAAUAAGAACCGAAUAUUUCUAAUUUUUUUUAUAUUGGGUAAAUCAAAUUAUUUUAAUUUUAAUUUUUUCUAAACAAAUUAACAAUUUCUAAAUCCAAAUUUUUGGCCCAAUACCCAUUGUAUUGUUUCAUUUCUUAGCCCAACAAGAUCCAAUCCACUAAAUAACUCUAAACACCUACACUAAAGUGCAUAACGUUGUCUCGACUCUUGCACUCACUCUCGCAGCCUCGCUCAUAUUUCAAAACCUAUACAAUCGUCGGCCGAUGCUGUGACCUCCGAUCGAAGUUGCGACCUCCUCCGACCGAAACUUUGACCGUAGCGACCAUUUGACCAAGGUAGUCUACUAGUCUAUGGCAUUCCAAAACCAUCGAAUAUAUCAUUGUAUUUAUAUAAUGUGGUUAUAAAUGUUAAAAAAUUUAAUUAUAGUACAGAACCGAACGGAACGGAACGGAACCGAACGGUUCCAUAAUUAUAUUUGGACCCGACGGUUCCAUUUACUAGACACCCGAAAAUUUUGGUUCGGCUCGGUUCUAAAGAGAACCGAACCUAGAACCGAGCCGAACCGAACCGACCCGCGCCCACCCCUACCCAAAUUUCACAUCGUUAGGAUUUGAAUCUCACAUCAAUUCCCAAAACCAAAUUUCACCAAAAAUUUUUUCCUCUUCAUUUCUCCAUAUCAGCCCUUGAUUUUCUUUCUCUCACAUCCACACAGUAGCAGAAAAAAUAGCAAAUUAAAAAAAAUGAGAAAAGCAAAAGCUCAAGUUGAGAAUCCAUGAUGAUAAUUAAUUUUGGUUCUUGAUCGGGUGAUAGAUACAAAGGUGGGUUGUGGUGGUGGCAUUGUCGGCGGAGGAGGCGUAGGUGACGUUAAGCACAUAAUGAAAUCUUCUUUCUCUUCAGUUUGGCCUUUUUUUGCCCUUUCCGUUUAGGGUUUAGUGAGAAAAAAAAUUGGCAUAUUUUGUUGGUGAAUUUUUAUUUUGUUCUCCGUUCAAUAAAAACAAGGAAUUUAGGGCAAAAUUGAGGGCUGCAAUUAGAAAUACAGUUGCAUUGGUUUAGUACUUAGUUAUCAUGUUUAUACAUCAAGUAUGUAGUUUCAAAUUAAUUAGAAUGUGUAUUCUAAUUAGUUACCAGGAAAGGGGAAAAGAAUUGAUAAAUUUUCUUUGUGAAAAUAGAGAAGUUGGUAUUAUGUUUCUUCCAAGAAACCAUUGGUUUCUCUGUAUGUUCUGUUUAUCUUUUCGAUGGCUAUCAAUGAAUGUACAAUUGUCUUUUGGGAAGCAAAUAAAAUUUUAAAGGUUUGGAAUUGAGGUUUGGUACAUAUAAUGAUUAUUAUUUUUUUUUUGUAUAAUUUGAAAUAAAUGUAAAAAGUUUGGGAUCACAACUACAAUUAUUAAUUUUCAAUUUUGCCAAUUUCUACUGUUUUCAAUGGAUGACUAACGGAACUAGACGGUUGGAGGUGAAUCGUACUUCAAAUUUCAUACAUUUUCUUCUCCUAAAAUGUUGUAUCCCUUGCAAUUUUUAAUAGAUAGGGGAUAUAUUGCACAUCAUGAAGUAUGUAGAACGUUUUUUUGUUAUUAAUCCAUUUUCAAUUCUCCCCUUCAACACUGACUUAUAGAUUUAGUUCUUCUCUCCUUAUUAUUCCCAGUUGCGUUCAAAACUCUUCAAAUUUUGAAGCAAGAGCCAUUUCGUUAAGACAUCUAUAUUAUUAAAAUGUAUACCAUUUUUUAAAGUCAUUUUUAUAUCAUUGGCCCACUUGAAUUCGAC